CCCAGCCGCCGGCCUCCGACCUGCGUCCCCGGGCCUUCCUCCCGCGGGGGGCGGGGGGUCCGGAGGGAGAACGCAGUGCGAGAGGAACAGUUUCCAAAGACCUAUUCUUGAGCAUGUAAGCGGAGCAAGAUUAAUACUUUUGGAACCGUCUCCGGUCGCCUUGCCAAGGGCGCAGGUUUUCCAGCCUUAAAGGAAGCCCGUUCAGCGAGGCUGAGGUGGGCCUGGAACCAGCCAGAGCUGAGCCUCUGGAGGGCCUCGAGCCGAGCCGCCGUCCACCUGUGACCUCGAGCCUUCCGUGCCUGCUGGGUCUGGUUCUGCACAGAGGAGUCCUGACUCCUGCUCACAGGAGUGACAGGGCUGUGACUCCCAGAGAGAUGCCAGGCUGUCAACGGAGGUCCUGGGAGGGACACAGGCCCCUUCUCUCUGCCCAGCCUGUCCAGCAACAGUGAGCUGGACACUCCGGCCAGACUCUCCCACCAGGGAACUGGAGGUGCUCCUUGUGAUGAGUUUGAGGAGGAGAGGUGCACUCUCACAUCCACUUCCAGUUAUUACCCGGAAUGCUUCCUGUCG